CAAAUCUCUGUGGGAUGUUGGAGCAGGCUUCCUGGAGGAAGCAGGAUUCAGUCACCAAAAUUUUCCAGAAGAAGAAGAUCUUGGUGACGUACAGUUUCCGUCAGUCUUUCCCCCUCGUGGAAAUGCACAUGCAGCUCUUCCAGAAUUCAUAUUACCAGUUUGGGAUCAAGUUGCUGUCUGCAGUACCUGGUGGGGAGCGAAAAGUCCUCAUCAUCUUCAAUGCCCCCAGCCUCCAGGACCGGCUGCGCUUUACAUCCGACCUGCGCGAGUCCAUUGCGGAGGUGCAGGAGAUGGAGAAAUACCGUGUGGAGUGUGAGUAGCCCAGCCAUGUCUCCUCCCUGCUCUCCUGAAACAGUACCCUGCAGAAACCAAGAAUCCUAUCCUCAGAGAAUCUCAGAGUUGAGGGUUAGCCUGUCCAACCUUCCCAUCCUCGUUUCAAGAAUUCUUCAGCCUCUGCUUGAAUACCUUCAGUGACAAGGGGCGCAUUACCUCCCAACCCCAUUAUUAUCCUGAACUCUAAUUAUGAGCCAACUAUUCCUUCUAGUGAAAGGUAUCAGGGAGAAGAAUCAGAGUAUUGGAGGUAGGACUAUAGUUUUAGAUCCCAGGUAUACUACUCAUUAUCUGGGUGAACUGGAGCAAAUUGCCUAACCUGCCGAGCCCCAGUUUCUUCCUAU
rnacentral:sRNA from 1 species